CACUUGAGCUUAAUGAAGUCUCAAAUAGAUCCUGAUAUAUUAGAGGCUGAUGGAAUUGAAAUGUCACUAGAAGAACAAAUGAGAGGAAUGAUCUUAGAUGAAAUUGCUGGAGAAACUCAAAUGUCUCAGAAAGACAAAAUAAAUGCUUUGUUUGAAAAAACAUCUCUUAGUACAAAGUUAAAAUAUGUGAUAGACAAGAUAAAAGCACUUCAUUCAGAACAUUCACAGAAAUGGUAAUU
rnacentral:sRNA from 1 species